rnacentral:rRNA from 1 species
GGAGGAAUAUUGGGCAAUGGGGGAAACCCUGACCCAGCAACGCCGCGUGAAGGAAGAAGGCCUUCGGGUUGUAAACUUCUGUUUAUGGAGAAGAUAAUGACGGUAUCCAUGGAGGAAGCUCCGGCAAACUACGUGCCAGCAGCCGCGGUAAUACGUAGGGAGCAAGCGUUGUCCGGAAUCACUGGGCGUAAAGGGCGCGUAGGCGGUAGCUUAAGUUGCAUGUAAAAUACCAGUGCUCAACAUUGGGGGGUCAUGCAAGACUGAGGUACUUGAGAGUAGUAGAGGGAAGCGGAAUUCCUGGUGUAGCGGUGAAAUGCGUAGAGAUCAGGAGGAACACCGGUGGCGAAGGCGGCUUUCUGGGCUACAACUGACGCUGAGGCGCGAAAGCGUGGGGAGCAAACA